AAGUAAUAUUUGUGGAACACUCAGACCAACAAGUGUUUAUAUACACACUGUACACUUUAUGUAAAUAGGAAUUCCCAUGAGAGGCGGUUAUGUAAAUCUCAUGAACCCCAUGUUCUUUAAAACACAGAAAUUACAGUACAUAUUCAGUGACGAGCAGCACUGUUCACUUCUUGUCUUUUGUUGCUGUAAAUGAAAUAAAAUGGAGGCCUUAGUAUUCAUCAUAGCUUUGCUGUUUGCGUUUAAAUAUGCUCAUUGUGACAUCACACUGACAGAGUCUGCUCCACAGAUGAAGAAGCCUGGAGAUUCCGUGAGGCUCUCCUGCAAAAUUACUGGAUUCUCACUCAGCAGCGACAGUGUGCACUGGGUUCGACAGGCUCCAAACAAAGGGCUGCAAUGGGUCGGAUAUUACGAUGGUUCUUCUGACGAUCGUUUCAAUGAUA